rnacentral:rRNA from 1 species
UACGUAGGGGGGCUAGCGUUGUCCGGAAUCAUUGGGCGUAAAGCGCGUGUAGGCGGCCCGGUAAGUCCGCUGUGAAAGUCGGGGGCUCAACCCUCGGAUGCCGGUGGAGUACUGUCGGGCUAGAGUACGGAAGAGGCGAGUGGAAUUCCUGGUGUAGCGGUGAAAUGCGCAGAUAUCAGGAGGAACACCAAUUGCGAAGGCAGCUCGCUGGGACGUUACUGACGCUGAGACGCGAAGGUCAGGGAGCAAACGGG